rnacentral:rRNA from 1 species
GUCCUUUUGAUUAUAAUAUAAGGUCUAACCUGCCCACUGAAAAUUUAAAGGGCCGCAGUAUUUUAACUGUGCAAAGGUAGCAUAAUAAUUAGUUUCUUAAUUAGAAGCUGGUAUGAAUGGUUGAACGAGAAAUUAGCUGUCUCAAUUUAUAAAUUAAAAUUUUAUUUUUAAGUUAAAAAGCUUAAAUUAAUUUAAAAGACGAGAAGACCCUAUAGAGUUUUAUAGUUAAUAAAAUUUUAAUUUUAGGAUUUUUAAUAUUUUAAUAAUUAUUUUAUUGGGGUGAUAUAUAAAUUAAAAUAACUUUAUAUUUUUAAUAACAUAAAUUAAUGAUUUUUUGAUCCAUUUUUAAUGAUUAUAAGAAAAAAUUACCUUAGGGAUAACAGCGUAAUUUUUUUUUAGAGUUCUAAUCGAAAGAAAAGAUUGCGACCUCGAUGUUGGAUUAAAGUUAAUUUUUGGUGUAGAAGCUAUAAAAUUAGGUCUGUUCGACCUUUAAAACUUUACAUGAUCUGAGUUUAGACCGGCGUGAGCCAGGUUGGUUUCUAUCUUUAAAUAUUUUAAAUAUUUUAGUACGAAAGGACCAAGUAUUUUUAAAAUUUAAUUUUUAAUUGAAUAU